UAGGCCCAUUGAAUGAUGGUGUGAGCCCUUCUGCACUGAAGGCUGCUCCCACACGCCCCAGCUCAUGCUUGGCCCUAGCAGUUAGGGCUCUUACUGGCAUGGCUAAAUCCUCACAGAAGGUAUUACAGAUUCCAAGUGCUUCCUUCUCUCACCCUGGGUUGGGUAAGAGUCAGCUGACGGACCUCUCUGCACCCCUGAGACCCCAGUGACAGGGCAACAGUGUGGCCAACUCCAACUUCUGGACACACGAGGAGUUUUCUGCUUCCUGGAUCCCCAGCGUGCCCUGGACAGGUACAAGCACCUGUCAUGCACAUUGGCCAGUCAAGCCCAAGCUACAGUGACCCUUGUGUCGAAGCCAUGGACAUCUACCAGAUCUGACAAAUUCCCAGAGAAGAAGGGUGCCCUCAAGGGGCUAUUUGAACAGAUUCCCAAAUGCUUUGGUCUUCAUGGAGUGCUGGGUAAUCAUCAACAGAGGCUUGCAGGAAAGGUCUCUGUGCAUUUUACACAUCUGGAGCUCAACACCCUGUUUAUGAGCUGAUGACAGAAAGAGAGAAUCAGAGAAGAAACGAGUGUGGUUAUCAGGGACUUAGAAUCCCUGCAGGGACAACCCCUGGAAGUAUCCAAAAUACUGAGCAGAGUACUCAUGACUUCCCACCAGGAGCAAACUGUCUGGUCCUGCAAUGCCAGACCCCCAAUAAACCCAAGGUAUCUUGCAGUUUUCAAAGGAACUGAAAUGGCUGGAUGAGCUGGAAGAGCCGAGGAGAAGGACAUACCUGAGAGCCCCAGUGGACUCACCCAGGAUCGUCACCAGAUAUUGGCAAUCAACGCCCGAGGGUCCCUAUGCUGCUACCCUAACCUGCACCCGGGCUGCUGGUUUACAUGGGGACUUAAAGACAAAUGGCAUGUAGGCCAGCAGCCCGUGACUGCUGUGCAUGAUUGUGUGGGUACUGUCUAGCCAGGCCUGCACCCAUGGCCCUGAGAUAGCUACCAAGAAAGUCCACACCAUUUCCACCAGGGCUGGAGUUUAGUGUGGAGGCGACAGUUAUUGAAAGGUAACUUGCUUCUGCCUGCAGUGAUUUCCUCUGUGAUCAUGGCUGGGACACUGGUUCCAGAUCAUUGUAGGGAGGGCACAAGGUGGCCAUGCCAAAGCUGGGCAGGGAUAUUAAGAUAGAUGCUGGGCAUCAGCAGCCAUGUGUGUGACAAAGGGCUUGCAAGUUAAAUACUAUGGCAGUCAAGUGAUUUCCAAGUCCUACCCAAUUCUUGGACUGUGUGUCCUGACUCAGUCAUAGCUGAGGGACCUGUUAUAGGUGACUUUCUGGGAGCCAGUGCCAGGCCAGCUCAUGUCCUCUCCAGGGUUUGCUGUGCUCCCUGAUGUGGGUCAGGAAGAAAGUGAACCUGGUGGUAUUUGGAGGCAUUUGGGUUCAGCAGUUCUGUCCACAGUGCUAGUAUUUCUAGCUGCCUGAGCUUGGCAAGCUCCUUCACCGAUCACGAUGAUGCACAUGCCUUCACCCCUUUUCUCUGCAUAGACCCUGACUUCUAAGAGCUAUUUUCUUUUCAACAGGAGAGGGUAUCUGUAAAAUGCUUGGUGCAAACUGCACCACAGUGGUCUGAUCUCCUUCUCUUACUCCCCUCCCUUUGGAGGGCUUGGGUCUGGGUCUCUCUUGCUCCCUCAUGGCUGUCUGGUAUCUUCUUCCCCAGUAAGAGCUGUAAUUCAAGUAAUCUGGAGCAGAAGAUCCAACCUGGGAGUGUUUGUGUGUGCCCAGCUCUCACAGAGGUGUUCUGGGGAUGCAGAAAUGAGCAGGGCAGCAUAGAAAUGAUGUUGCAGAGUGGAGGUGAGGAGCAAGGGCUCUGGAUUCAGACCACACUAUAACUCAGUGUGCAGCCUUAGAGCUAGUUGCACUUAAUUGCACUGUACCUCAGUUUCCCUGUCUGUAAAAUAGGUAUAAAAUUAAUCAACCUCAUGAAUGAACAAUGCAUUCUAGUGCUGAGCACAUCCAUCAGUUCCAAUAAAUAUGUAUUGGUACUAACUGACUCCAACUGAGGAGCCAGGGUAGGGAGCUAUGCAGUAGGGUGGAGUGGUCCCCACAACAAUUGGCCUUCUUUCCCACAGAUGGGAGAGAUCAGAGGGUAGAAGACUUGGAAUAGGUGUCUCUUGAGGGAUGGGAAAUAAUUAUUGAUGUUGUUUCUGUAGUUUUGGGCACUGGGGAUGCUUCCCAGCGCUUGGCACAGGCUGAGCAAGUGGUCCUCCCAUGAGCAACAGUCCCAGUAGUAUUUAGAUGAGCAGAUGGGAGUAGUCUGACUUAUCCUAGUUGGGGAAGACAAGCAAGCCUCCCCAAUCCCUCUAAUCCAUGUUCUUGACCACCCCAACUCUUACCCCCACCCUCUGCAUCAGAAAACAAUUUAAUGAACUCCAGCUGAGCCACAUGCUGGCUGCAUGACUGUAGUAUCCAUGGAGAUCUGUUCUCAAGGAGAGAAGAGAAAACCAAGGUCUCUGCACUAAGUCUCCGAGCCAGUGGCAUGGGCCUGCCUGCAGAGCAGACAGAGGAGUCUGUGUUUGCAGUCCCCAAAGAGCCCCAGUCUUCUUCUCCCUACCCCUCCUAUCCUGAUUGGUGGGGGUCCAGGAAACAUGUAGCCUGCCAGCCCUGGGCACCUCAUACAGGCUACUAGAGGGUAGCAUGGAGGCAGCUUCUUCUUGGCUAUGGGGAAAUGGCAGACACAACCCUUUCCUAUCAGCACAAGAGGUAGGUUGAUAAUGAUGUUGGGUCCUAGUGUUGGCCACAAGCAUCCUCUCUGUCACCUGACCCCAGUGGCCUUGAAGAGCUUUGCUUACUAUCCAAAGAGUCACCAUAGAGGAAAGCAGCUUUAGCUGCCUCUCUGCUGGUGUAGUGCUACCUGGGCCAGUGGGAUGGUGAGCUGGUUCUGCUUUUCCAUCUGUUUUUCCCCCCUACACCUGAUUCUAGCCUUCCUGACUCACUGACUGCCCAUAACCUCCUGCAUUUGGCAUUAGCACUCAUGGUCCCAUGAAUAGUAAUGUCUUUUCUGUUUCCUAUUGGCCACCGAUGGCUAAGUUUUCAAGAUACCACUAGUGGUUACCUCCUCUUGUGCCAUGGUUUGGUCAUGCCUGCCUUUGAACUCAUGCCACGAGAGCUUGCAUUACAUAGACUUGACUAGGGCAUCUCCAUGGUUCUGACAGUGUCACUGAUGGGGGUCUCACUUUCUUGCCUGUGCUGGUCUCAAAAGUCUGGGCUCCUGUGAACCUGCUUCAGCUUUUCAGAAGCUAGGAUUCCGGCAAACCUGGCAGUCCUUUUGAAAGAUGAAGAAAAUAAGGCCUGGAGGCUCAGCUAAGUUGCUUUGGUUGUUAAUGAAGUUUUUUACUUGCUUUGUGCAUAUUUAACUUCUGAGGUGUGCCAGACACUGAGAGCAUGCCAAUGAAUAAAAUGGACAAUAAUC